CCUACGGGAGGCAGCAGUGGGGAAUAUUGGGCAAUGGGCGCAAGCCUGACCCAGCAACGCCGCGUGAAGGAAGAAGGCUUUCGGGUUGUAAACUUCUUUUGUCAGGGACGAAGCACGUGACGGUACCUGACGAAUACGCCACGGCUAACUACGUGCCAGCAGCCGCGGUAAUACGUAGGUGGCAGUCGUUAUCCGGAUUUACUGGGUGUAAAGGGCGUGUAGGCGGGACUGCAAGUCAGAUGUGAAAACCACGGGCUCAACCUGUGGCCUGCAUUUGAAACUGUAGGUCUUGAGUACUGGAGAGGCAGACGGAAUUCCUAGUGUAGCGGUGAAAUGCGUAGAUAUUAGGAGGAACACCAGUGGCGAAGGCGGUCUGCUGGACAGCAACUGACGCUGAGGCGCGAAAGCGUGGGGAGCAAACAGGAUUAGAUACCCUAGUAGUC
rnacentral:rRNA from 1 species